GCCACACUGGAACUGAGACACGGUCCAGACUCCUACGGGAGGCAGCAGUAGGGAAUAUUGGCGCAAUGUGCGAAAGCAUGACGCAGCGACACCUCGUGAACGACGACAUCCUUCGGGAUUUAAAGUUCUGUCAGCAGGGAAGAUAAUGACGGUACCUGCAAAAGAAGCACAGGAAUACUACGUGCCAGAAGACGAAGUAAUACGUAGGGUGCAAGCGUUGUCCGGAUUUAAUGGGCGUAAUAGCGUAUGUAGGUGGAUAUAAAAGUAAGGUGUUAAAGGCAGAGGAUACAAGGAAGUAUGCGCUAUAAACUGAAUGGCUAGAGUGCAUGAGAGGAAAGUGGAACGCAUAGUGUACCGGUGAAAUGCGUAGAUAUUAUGCGGAACACCAGUGGCGAAGGCGACUUUCUGGACUGUAACUGACACUGAGAUACGAAAGCGUGGGGAGCAAACAGGAUUAGAUACCCUGGUAGUCCACGCUGUAAACGAUGUUCAUUAGGUGUGGGAGGUAUUGACCCCUUCCGUGCCGAAGCUAACGCGUUAAAUGAACCGCCUGGGGAGUACGGCCGCAAGGCUAAAACUCAAAGGAAUUGACGGGGGCCCGCACAAGCAGUGGAACAUGUGGUUUAAUUCGACGAUACACGAAAAACCUCACCUAGGCUUGACAUCCUCGGAAUCCUCUAGAGAUAGAGGAGUGCCUUCGGGAACCGAGAGACAGGUGGUGCAUGGUUGUCGUCAGCUCGUGCCGUGAGGUGUUGGGUUAAGUCCCGCAACGAGCGCAACCCUCGUUCUAUGUUACCAGCAUUUAGUUGGGUACUCAUAGGAGACUGCCCCGGAUAACGGGGAGGAAGGUGGGGAUGACGUCAAAUCAUCAUGCCCCUUACGCCUAGGGCUACACACAUGUUACAAUGGGCGAUAUAACAGGUAGCGAAACCGCAAGGUCAAGCAAAUCCCCAAAAUCGUCCCCAGUUCGGAUUGCAGGCUGCAACUCGCCUGCAUGAAGUCGGAAUUGCUAGUAAACGCGGAUCAGCUAUGCCGCGUUGAUACGUUCCCGGGCCUUGUACACACCGCCCGUCACAUCAUGAGAGUUGGGACAUCCGAAGUUAGUGCGUCAACCGCAAGGAGACAGCUACCUAAGAUGGAACCAAUGAUUGGGG
rnacentral:rRNA from 1 species